rnacentral:rRNA from 1 species
UACGAAGGGGGCUAGCGUUGCUCGGAAUUACUGGGCGUAAAGCGCACGUAGGCGGGUCGCUAAGUCGGGGGUGAAAUCCUGGAGCUCAACUCCAGAGCUGCCUUCGAAACUGACGAUCUUGAGUUCGGGAGAGGUGAGUGGAACUGCGAGUGUAGAGGUGAAAUUCGUAGAUAUUCGCAAGAACACCAGUGGCGAAGGCGGCUCACUGGCCCGAUACUGACGCUGAGGUGCGAAAGCGUGGGGAGCAAACAGG